GGGCUCACUUUGGCAGCACAUACACUAAAAUUGGGGUGAUACAGAGAAGAUUAGCAUGGACCCUGCACGAGGAUGGAUGACUCACUAAUUCAUAAAGCAUUCCCUAUUUUG